rnacentral:lncRNA from 1 species
GAUACUAUGUUAAUGAGUUAAUGAAUAAUCCAUGAAUAAGUACAAUCUGAUAUUAAAGAUGAGAUGUUGUAAUCUGAUAUACAAAUAACCUAUUCACAUGCUUCUAACCAAUUUAUACAAACAACCUAUUCACAAGCUCAAGCAUGAACAAGCACACAAACAAAGAAAAUAAAAAAAUAAUCAACUAAAAAUUAAUGAAAAUAAGAAAAAAUAAUAGAAAAAAAUUAAAAAUUUCUAUGUUCCCCCCACACUUUAUUUGGCUCAUGAAGGUACUGUGAGGUUAGUCG